rnacentral:rRNA from 1 species
GACGAACGCUGGCGGCGUGCCUAAUACAUGCAAGUCGAACGAACUCUGGUAUUGAUUGGUGCUUACAUCAUGAUUUACAUUUGAGUGAGUGGCGAACUGGUGAGUAACACGUGGGAAACCUGCCCAGAAGCGGGGGAUAACACCUGGAAACAGAUGCUAAUACCGCAUAACAACUUGGACCGCAUGGUCCGAGCUUGAAAGAUGGCUUCGGCUAUCACUUUUGGAUGGUCCCGCGGCGUAUUAGCUAGAUGGUGGGGUAACGGCUCACCAUGGCAAUGAUACGUAGCCGACCUGAGAGGGUAAUCGGCCACAUUGGGACUGAGACACGGCCCAAACUCCUACGGGAGGCAGCAGUAGGGAAUCUUCCACAAUGGACGAAAGUCUGAUGGAGCAACGCCGCGUGAGUGAAGAAGGGUUUCGGCUCGUAAAACUCUGUUGUUAAAGAAGAACAUAUCUGAGAGUAACUGUUCAGGUAUUGACGGUAUUUAACCGGAAAGCCACGGCUAACUACGUGCCAGCAGCCGCGGUAAUACGUAGGUGGCAAGCGUUGUCCGGAUUUAUUGGGCGUAAAGCGAGCGCAGGCGGUUUUUUAAGUCUGAUGUGAAAGCCUUCGGCUCAACCGAAGAAGUGCAUCGGAAACUGGGAAACUUGAGUGCAGAAGAGGACAGUGGAACUCCAUGUGUAGCGGUGAAAUGCGUAGAUAUAUGGAAGAACACCAGUGGCGAAGGCGGCUGUCUGGUCUGUAACUGACGCUGAGGCUCGAAAGUAUGGGUGGCAAACAGGAUUAGGUACCCUGGUAGUCCAUACCGUAAACGAUGAAUGCUAAGUGUUGGAGGGUUUCCGCCCUUCAGUGCUGCAGCUAACGCAUUAAGCAUUCCGCCUGGGGAGUACGGCCGCAAGGCUGAAACUCAAAGGAAUUGACGGGGGCCCGCACAAGCGGUGGAGCAUGUGGUUUAAUUCGAAGCUACGCGAAGAACCUUACCAGGUCUUGACAUACUAUGCAAAUCUAAGAGAUUAGACGUUCCCUUCGGGGACAUGGAUACAGGUGGUGCAUGGUUGUCGUCAGCUCGUGUCGUGAGAUGUUGGGUUAAGUCCCGCAACGAGCGCAACCCUUAUUAUCAGUUGCCAGCAUUAAGUUGGGCACUCUGGUGAGACUGCCGGUGACAAACCGGAGGAAGGUGGGGAUGACGUCAAAUCAUCAUGCCCCUUAUGACCUGGGCUACACACGUGCUACAAUGGAUGGUACAACGAGUUGCGAACUCGCGAGAGUAAGCUAAUCUCUUAAAGCCAUUCUCAGUUCGGAUUGUAGGCUGCAACUCGCCUACAUGAAGUCGGAAUCGCUAGUAAUCGCGGAUCAGCAUGCCGCGGUGAAUACGUUCCCGGGCCUUGUACACACCGCCCGUCACACCAUGAGAGUUUGUAACACCCAAAGUCGGUGGGGUAACCUUUUAGGAACCAGCCGCCUAAGGUGGGACAGAUGAUUAGGGUG